GACGAACCGUGCGAACGUUAUUCGGAAUCACUGGGCUUAAAGCGCGUGUAGGCGGGCCGCCACGUCGGCUGCUGAAAUCCCCCGGCUCAACCGGGGAAGUGGCACCGAUACGAGCGGCCUCGAGGGGGGUAGGGGGGUCUGGAACUUCCGGUGGAGCGGUGAAAUGCGUUGAGAUCGGAAGGAACGCCCGUGGCGAAAGCGAGGCCCUGGACCCUUACUGACGCUGAGACGCGA
rnacentral:rRNA from 1 species